rnacentral:rRNA from 1 species
UACGUAGGAUGCAAGCGUUGUCCGGAAUUAUUGGGCGUAAAGAGCGCGCAGGCGGUCUGCCAAGUCAGAUGUGAAAGAGGCCGGCUUAACCGGCAAGGGUCAUUUGAAACUGACAGACUAGAGUGCAGCAGAGGAUAGCGGAAUUCCCGGUGUAGUGGUGAAAUGCGUAGAUAUCGGGAGGAACACCAGUGGCGAAGGCGGCUAUCUGGGCUGCAACUGACGCUGAGGCGCGAAGGCUAGGGUAGCAAACAGG